GUUUUAUUGUGUUAGUGAGGGAAAACUUGCAGGUCAGUGGGCAUUAACCUUUAAGGUUGGUAAACACUUGUGCACUGAAGCAUACAAUACUGUACAAUUACUGACAUAGGCAUGUGCUAUUCAGGUGUCAAAGCUCUGCGAAACUGGAGGGAGAACUUGAGAGACUGUGCCGGAAGAAUGCUGGACAGAGUUCACUCAAAUUCAUUAAUUUCAAAGUUCAACAUGAAUAGUGGUGGUCCACUGCAGAAGCAAGCAUUUGAAAAAACAUCACUUCUCAGUUAUUAAAGAUGCUGUGUUGAACAACUUCCCAGCAGCAACAGAACUGGAAGUGAGGAUGCAAUGGGGGCAUUUCAAACAGUCACCAGGGAG